CACAACGACAAAAUCACCUGGAAUGUGCCCGACCUCGUCAGAUCUUGCAAACUAAGCCAGGUUGAGCUUGGAUAGUGCUAGGAUGGGUGACCGCCCAUGCAUCAACAAUUUGUCCUUAUGA
rnacentral:rRNA from 1 species